rnacentral:rRNA from 1 species
AACGAACGCUGGCGGCGUGCCUAACACAUGCAAGUCGUGCGAGAAAGUUCCUUCGGGAGCGAGUAAAGCGGCGCACGGGUGAGUAACACGUAGGUAACCUGCCCCCCAGUCUGGAACAACUAGAGGAAACUCUAGCUAAUGCCGGAUGAGACCACGAUCCCUUCGGGGGUUGCGGCCAAAGAUGGCCUCUACUUGUAAGCUAUCGCUGAGGGAUGGGCCUGCGGGCCAUUAGCUUGUUGGUGAGGUAACGGCUCACCAAGGCUGUGAUGGCUAGCUGGUCUGAGAGGAUGACAGCCACACUGGGACUGAGACACGGCCCAGACUCCUACGGGAGCAGCAGUGGGAUAUUGCGCAAUGGGCGAAAGCCUGACGCAGCGACGCCGCGUGGGUGAGUGAAGGCCUU